UGAACGCUGGCGGCAGGCCUAACACAUGCAAGUCGAACGGUAACAGGAAGCAGCUUGCUGCUUUGCUGACGAGUGGCGGACGGGUGAGUAAUGUCUGGGAAACUGCCUGAUGGAGGGGGAUAACUACUGGAAACGGUGGCUAAUACCGCAUAACGUCGCAAGACCAAAGAGGGGGACCUUCGGGCCUCUUGCCAUCAGAUGUGCCCAGAUGGGAUUAGCUUGUUGGUGAGGUAACGGCUCACCAAGGCGACGAUCCCUAGCUGGUCUGAGAGGAUGACCAGCCACACUGGAACUGAGACACGGUCCAGACUCCUACGGGAGGCAGCAGUGGGGAAUAUUGCACAAUGGGCGCAAGCCUGAUGCAGCCAUGCCGCGUGUAUGAAGAAGGCCUUCGGGUUGUAAAGUACUUUCAGCGGGGAGGAAGGUGUUGUGGUUAAUAACCGCAGCAAUUGACGUUACCCGCAGAAGAAGCACCGGCUAACUCCGUGCCAGCAGCCGCGGUAAUACGGAGGGUGCAAGCGUUAAUCGGAAUUACUGGGCGUAAAGCGCACGCAGGCGGUCUGUCAAGUCGGAUGUGAAAUCCCCGGGCUCAACCUGGGAACUGCAUUCGAAACUGGCAGGCUUGAGUCUUGUAGAGGGGGGUAGAAUUCCAGGUGUAGCGGUGAAAUGCGUAGAGAUCUGGAGGAAUACCGGUGGCGAAGGCGGCCCCCUGGACAAAGACUGACGCUCAGGUGCGAAAGCGUGGGGAGCAAACAGGAUUAGAUACCCUGGUAGUCCACGCCGUAAACGAUGUCUACUUGGAGGUUGUGCCCUUGAGGCGUGGCUUCCGGAGCUAACGCGUUAAGUAGACCGCCUGGGGAGUACGGCCGCAAGGUUAAAACUCAAAUGAAUUGACGGGGGCCCGCACAAGCGGUGGAGCAUGUGGUUUAAUUCGAUGCAACGCGAAGAACCUUACCUGGUCUUGACAUCCACGGAAGUUUUCAGAGAUGGAUUGGUGCCUUCGGGAACCGUGAGACAGGUGCUGCAUGGCUGUCGUCAGCUCGUGUUGUGAAAUGUUGGGUUAAGUCCCGCAACGAGCGCAACCCUUAUCCUUUGUUGCCAGCGGUCCGGCCGGGAACUCAAAGGAGACUGCCAGUGAUAAACUGGAGGAAGGUGGGGAUGACGUCAAGUCAUCAUGGCCCUUACGACCAGGGCUACACACGUGCUACAAUGGCGCAUACAAAGAGAAGCGACCUCGCGAGAGCAAGCGGACCUCAUAAAGUGCGUCGUAGUCCGGAUUGGAGUCUGCAACUCGACUCCAUGAAGUCGGAAUCGCUAGUAAUCGUGGAUCAGAAUGCCACGGUGAAUACGUUCCCGGGCCUUGUACACACCGCCCGUCACACCAUGGGAGUGGGUUGCAAAAGAAGUAGGUAGCUUAACCUUCGGGAGGGCGCUUACCACUUUGUGAUUCAUGACUGGGGUGAAGUCGUAACAAGGUAACCGUAGGGGAACCUGCGGUUGGAUCACCUCCUUACCUUAAAGAA
rnacentral:rRNA from 1 species